rnacentral:rRNA from 1 species
UACGUAGGUGGCAAGCGUUGUCCGGAUUUAUUGGGUUUAAAGGGUGCGUAGGCGGCAUUUUAAGUCAGUGGUGAAAUACUUCAGCUUAACUGGAGAGGUGCCAUUGAUACUGGGAUGCUUGAGUACUGAUGAGGUAGGCGGAAUGGGCGGUGUAGCGGUGAAAUGCUUAGAUAUCGUCCAGAACACCGAUAGCGAAGGCAGCGUACUAAGGAGUAACUGACGCUGAGGCACGAAAGUGUGGGGAUCAAACAGG